rnacentral:lncRNA from 1 species
UUUGAUGAGAAGAAAACUCAUUCUUGGUCGGUCAUAUUGACCAACGAACAGGCUUCUGUCAUCUUGGCACCAGAUAUAUGUUAUCUACACUUACAGAACUGAAAGCACACAUCCCCAGGGUCCCCGGGUGCUUCUCUUGGGAAGAGAAU